AGCUCUUCUAGGAGCUGUACACUGAAAGGGGCCUGAAACAGAUACCCUGUAAUUUACAUCCCUGCUUAGUCCCUCGGUGAGGAAAGGCAGCCUUUGCUCCAAAUUGACGUGUCCUCUGCCGGCACUGAGGAGAACUGUACCGGAGAAGAUGUAGGACCUGUGUCAGGGUACUUGAUCCCUGGAUUUCAUCACACAUAACUUCACUGCAACUGCUUUGCUUUGCCCCUUGCUCAACAGCAAAGAGGCACCCCGACUUCAGAGCUUUGUAUCUGUGCCCAGACUUCAAGGCUGACAUACCUCAACAUUGAGAAUAAAGUGAAAAUCUCCUUUA